GCACUCACUUUGGCAGCACUCAUACUAAAAUUGAAAUGAUAUAGAGAAAAUUAGCGUGUCCCUGUGCAAGGAUGACACCUAAAUUCAUAAAGAGUUCCAUAUUUUU
ensembl:snRNA U6 U6 spliceosomal RNA